AUUGAACGCUGGCGGCAGGCCUAACACAUGCAAGUCGAACGAGUGGCGGACGGGUGAGUAAUGUAUGGGAAACUGCCUGAUGGAGGGGGAUAACUACUGGAAACGGUAGCUAAUACCGCAUACUAUAGGAUGAGCCCAUAUGGGAUUAGCUCGUAGGUGGGGUAAAGGAUCACCUAGGCGACGAUCCCGAGCUGGUCUGAGAGGAUGACCAGCCACACUGGAACUGAUACACGGUCCAGACUCCUACGGGAGGCAGCAGUGGGGAAUAGUGCACAAUGGGCGCAAGCCUGAUACAGCCAUGCCGCGUGUAUGAAGAAGGCCUUCGGGUUGUAAAGUACUUUCAGCGGGGAGGCGUUACCCGCAGAAGAAGCACCGGCUAACUCCGUGCCAGCAGCCGCGGUAAUAC
rnacentral:rRNA from 1 species